GAUGAACGCUGGCGGCGUGCCUAAUACAUGCAAGUCGAGCGAACAGACGAGGAGCUUGCUCCUCUGAUGUUAGCGGCGGACGGGUGAGUAACACGUGGAUAACCUACCUAUAAGACUGGGAUAACUUCGGGAAACCGGAGCUAAUACCGGAUAAUAUUUUGAACCGCAUGGUUCAAAAGUGAAAGACGGUUUUGCUGUCACUUAUAGAUGGAUCCGCGCUGCAUUAGCUAGUUGGUAAGGUAACGGCUUACCAAGGCAACGAUGCGUAGCCGACCUGAGAGGGUGAUCGGCCACACUGGAACUGAGACACGGUCCAGACUCCUACGGGAGGCAGCAGUAGGGAAUCUUCCGCAAUGGGCGAAAGCCUGACGGAGCAACGCCGCGUGAGUGAUGAAGGUCUUCGGAUCGUAAAACUCUGUUAUUAGGGAAGAACAAAUGUGUAAGUAACUAUGCACGUCUUGACGGUACCUAAUCAGAAAGCCACGGCUAACUACGUG
rnacentral:rRNA from 1 species